AAAAAAUUGAUUCCAAAUGUUAUGUGUGAGAGAGAAAGGUAGAGAAGACAUUUUGGUCCAAAAAAUGUUAAGUGUUAAUUUUUUGGAAUUCAUUUGAAAUUUCAACUGUUUUGAUAGAAUUUGGUUUUAGUUAUGUUGAAUUCCAUGCGGAAUUGAAAUAUACAUUUUUUUUUUCAAACCAAACAUAUAAAACAUAAAAUUCAAUUGAAUUUUCAGAAAAUUUUACAGAAUUCAUUUGUAUCAGACAUACCCUAACAUUGUUGUUGUCAAGUUGCAUGCAUUACUGCCAACUGUCGAUAAAUCCUUUUUCAUGUAGGUGGCUUGGUUGUGAAUUUCCUUGUUUGUUUUGUAUUCCUUUUAGAAGAAAAUUUUUUAAAUGCAGUGCCAGCUCUACUUUUAGGAGUGAUUCUGUAAUUAUGAUAGUGUUAUGUUUGAAAAAGUGAAAAUCAAUUCUAAUUUUAAUAUCAAAAUAAGAGAGAUGAAAACGAAAGAAAACAAAGAAGGUGGGUAAAAUUUUUAUAUUGAUAUGGGAUCAGCUGAAUAAUGAAUAAUAAACCUUGGUUUUGCAAUGAAAUGAUAGAAGUUAAAGGACCAUAAUAAGUGUGUGUGAUUCUAGGGCUGGCUUUGGAACUCCUCACCUAACUUCAAGAAAUCUUUCUGUAUUGAAGCCAUUGAUAGCACAUGACUUUCACAAUUGAAUAGUGAGAGUCAUCGGUUGAGUGUGAGGUUAUUCAUUGAAGUCCAUUGAGGAUUUGCUGUUGUUGGAUCCGUGGGGUUGAUAAAAUGGAUUAUCUCUGUUCCAUGUGUAACAUUUUGGUUUCUGCAAAGUUACCCAUGCAACCAUGAGAUUAUUGGUUCAAUCCUUCUUCUCUCAUGUUCCAAAACAUGAAAAAGAUUAUGUGUUGGGUAUCGUUGGUUCAAUGUAUAAAGCCCCUAAAUUUGUUGUGCUUGGAAUGACUUGUGAAUUGGGGAGCUUUAUCUUGAAGGAUAUCAUACAUUGUUAGGACUUCUGCUGGAAUGUGGUAGAGAAUGACUAAUGCACAGCUUAUCUAUGCAAUGAAUGUAGUUACACAAGGCACAAAGUGCGUGUUAAAAUUGAAGACUUUCUUGCUUCAUGCAUCUGCAUUGAGGCUCCUAAUCUCUCUCUCUUUCCCCAUCUAUUUAUAUGUAUAUACUUUUGACUGCUGCUAGGACUUCUGCUGGAAUGUGGU
rnacentral:misc_RNA from 1 species